rnacentral:rRNA from 1 species
AGGAUCAUUUGCAAUGGGCGAAAGCCUGACAAUGCGACGCUGCGUGGAGGAUGAAGGCCUUCGGGUUGUAAACUCCUGUCAUGGGGGAACAGGCGAGGGGAGCGAACACCUCCCCGGGUUGAGUGUACCCCAAGAGGAAUUGGCGGCUAACUCUGUGCCAGCAGCCGCGGUAAUACAGAGGCCAAGAGCGUUGUUCGGAUUUACUGGGCGUAAAGGGCGCGUAGGCGGCCGAGUGUGUCAAGUGUGAAAUCUCCGGGCCCAACCCGGAAAGUGCGCUUGAGACUGCUUGGCUCGAGGCCGGGAGGGGGAAUCGGAAUGCAGGGUGUAGCGGUGAAAUGCGUUGAUAUCCUGCAGAACACCGGAGGCGAAGGCGGAUUCCUUGAACGGCACUGACGCUGAGGCGCGAAAGUCGGGGGAGCAAACA